rnacentral:lncRNA from 1 species
AAGAAACAUAGCUCCUAUGGCUAAAAUAGAACAUAGGAGAAAAUGAUUAUUUUUUUUGGCUUUUGAAGAAAAUAGGAAGAUCCAAAAAACAUUUAAAUAAAUUGAAAAGCCAAAAUAAUCAUUGAUGAGAGAUUUAACCAAAAGAAUUAAGGUGAGCGAUUCAGGCUCUUGAGAGCCUCUUGUUUUUCUAGUUUUUUUUAUCAAGUCCAAUCCAUUUGGAAACUUAAUACACAUGUUCCCUUUGAUAUGAUCUUUUUAAUUUUAAUGCCAAAUUGGUGUUUUUACCCCAUUUUCAUGGUACACUGAACAUCAAUAAACAGCUGCGCCAUGAGCGCAUGAUACGCCCGACGUCUUGUGUGGAAGUUUUAUGCAAUAAUCAUAAAUAGUUUCUGAGGAAGUUUUAAGCAAUAACCAUUAAUUUUUAAUAAAAUUAUGAAUCAAAC